AACGAACGCUGGCGGCAUGCCUAACACAUGCAAGUCGAACGAGACCUUCGGGUCUAGUGGCGCACGGGUUCGUAACGCGUGGGAACCUGCACUUAGGUUCGGCAUAACUCCCCGAAAGGGGUGCUAAUACCGGGUAAUAUCUUCGGACCAAAGAGUUAUCGCCUUUGGGUGGGCGCGCGUUGGAUUAGCUAGUUGGUAGGGUAAAAGCCUCCAAAGGCGAGGAUCCAUAGCUGGUCUGUGAGGAUGAUCAGCCACACUGGGAGUGGGACACGGCCCAGACUCCUACGCGAGGCAGCAGUGGGGAAUAUUGGACAAUGGGCGAUGGCAUGAACCAGCAAGGCCGGGUGAGUGCUGAAGGCCGUAGGGUUGUAAAGCUCGUUUACCCGGGGGGAUAAUGACAGUACCGGGAGAAUAAGCACCGGCUAACUCCGUG
rnacentral:rRNA from 1 species